rnacentral:lncRNA from 1 species
CGCGGGGGAGGUAGUACACCAGCUUAACUCUGGCCUCUCAGUGGCCAUUCAGGCCAGCUCGGGGAGUUGCCCCCCUAUGGACAGUCAGGACAUAGCAGCAGGCAAGGAGGUCAUUCGGGUAGCCUCGGUGCAGAUCCUGGCCGAGCUACAGAGCCAAACGUCUGAGCCAGAGUGGGUAGGGUUUAUCGAGCCCCUCAUGGACCCUGUGACCGAUGAUGUGCUGAAUGCCAUUGUCGGCACAAUGGACAAAAUGGCACAGGACUACAACAUCCUAUUGGAUCUGGCCAAGAAGAUGACAAUCUUGGGGUCUAAAUUUCUGACCAAUCUUCAAUGUGACCUUGAUGUUGAGUGUCCAUCUGGGAAAGAAGGGACCACUCACUCUCUCAAAGAGACUGGAUCCUCUAGCAGUGUGGUGUCCAGAAAGCUUCAGACCCUCUCUAGCCCCGACUUUCAGUCUAAAGCCCUCAAGGCGGUGAGCACCAUCCUUACAAGGAAAGUCAGCAGCUCUUCUGGCGUGGCUCCUUCCUCUAGGCCUUCUAGUGCUGCUCCUAGCCUUACUGAAGCUCCCCUGAAUACCAGCUGCACAGCCCUGACAUCUGUAAGCUCCACUGCCGCAGUGAUUGUUAAGGCAUUUGUGGGAGGCAUGGAGACGAUAGCAUCAUUUGAAGGCAAAUGUGAAGCAAUUGAUUGGCCAGUUCCUGUAAAUGACCACAAAACAGGGUUUUCACAGAAGAUAACCUUCUCUCCAGCCCGCACACUCUAUGGCCUUAUACGAGCAAAGCUGAGGGACCUUUUAACUCUAUCCGCUCGAGAAGAAGGUGUGGCUAAGGAUGCUUCUCUUCAGGAGUCUUCAGACACCCUGGAAAAGGCAACUGUUUCAACUGUUGAGGUCCAGUUACCCAGCACCAAACUUAGUAGAGUUCCCAGUGAGAGCCAACCAAUACCAGCUCUCUGUCUCUCCAAUCUGGAUAACAGCACUCAAGAAGUUCUUAGCAGUGUUUUUUCCAUCUACAAGUCAGAGUUAUCAAAAGUGGAGAGUAAAUGCUUGGCCGUUGUCAGUUCAUCUGAUGAGUCCCUAGAUGCUUGUUGGCUUGUUGAUGGUGUCCUAUCAAAGCUUGAUGACUAUACUAUUUCCCAGUCACCCUCACCCAAUGAAGACUUGAGUGUGAGUACUCAAUGUUCUCAACUGAGCUCAGAAGAGAGUGUCAGAAUCACACAGUCCUCUACUAGUCUGAUUCAGAGCAUUAAGAAGCUCUCUAGCAAUGACUUUCAGACUCAGGCAGAAGAGGCAGUGAGUAAAGUGCUGAUGAGAUCCAGUCAUUCCUUUAUCACACAGAUCAGCCAUACUGGUCUUCAGAAAAGUCUGCAGGCUGGCUUAUCAUCUAGCUCGCCAUCAGAGAUUGCCUCCAUGUCCUCUCAGAAUACAGCCCCUGGAUUAGUGGAAACCUUUGUCAAAGGAAUGGCGACUAUUUUCCAGAAAAAUGAGUCCACUGACACUGUGCUCCUGGAAAGAAGUGGGAGAGUUUUGCAGUGCUCCCACGGGGGCUCCCAACUGGAUGAUACUGAAUUGAGUGUUCAAAUAUCAGAAGAGAAGCUUUGGUCAACAGCUAAGACCAUCUGCGUCAAUAUGAAGAACAUACUUAAGGAUUUCUUCACAGGGCUGAAGCCAUCCGGAUCCGAAAGGACAGAAAAUGCUUCUUCCAAAGAGACCCUUGGGGAAAUCCUGGUUGCUAUCCAGAGUGAAAUCUCAAACUUAGGGCGAAUUAAGGAUUCCAGGGAGCUCCUUCAGAUCAACGAUAUGGUAGGAACUAUGCUGAAGGAGGUUGAGAAAAGUGAGGAUGACAGUGAACAAGUCUGCCAAGACAUCCCUAGAACCUGUUCAUCUUUGUCCACUUCUUUAAAGGGUCGUAGUUCCUUGUCUAGCUCUUCAAAGGGUCCUAGGUCAGAGUGUGAGUUAGAGAUCAACCUCCCUGGCACUCCCAUCCCUGACGAAGUGCCUUUUGAUCUGACCUGCCCCAUCGUCAGGAGCUCCUGCAUCGACACCAGGGACUCUAAAAUGCCAGAGAUUUCUACAAGUGACCUAAGGACAAAGAUGAUGGCACACACAGAUGAACCCCUGCAUCGUAACAGUCCAAUGACUGACAGCAGCCGACCACCGAGUGCUAAAGCCUCUUUUCGAUCCUCCACUACUCCAUCUUUCACCAGCAAGGGAACCUCUUUGGUACCAAAGGGAGAUGGGAUUGACAUUGAAGAGAAGGAGGUGAGCAUCCCCAGCAGCUCUGGCCAUCUGAGGGAGCUCUUAAUCAGCCCAGACAUCAGCAGUGCCACUGCAUUCCCACUGCAGUACUUGAUGGACUCCAGCAAAGAUGAUGUCAUCUGUUUGGUCACCGUACUGGUGAUAAGGUUGCUAUCGAAGAUCAGACCCUCAGCCCUAGAUGGACCCUUCCAACAGGCACCAGACAUGACAGAAACAUCUCAGCAACUCAUCAGACAAGUCCUGUCUGAGUUCUGUGCUGCAUCCAGAUUCUCCAGGACACAGGAAUAUUCCCAGAACCUGCACAUCCACAGGGUGUUCAGAGGUGUACAUAAAAACUUGAUGGAGGAGUUUGGCUCUUAUAACACCCUGCAAGCAGCUAUUUCCUCCCAGGACCCUGCAUUUGACAGAGUCCUGGUAAAGUCCUUGACCCAGCAGCUGGUACAGGGACGCAAGGAGGCGUCAAGACCAGCUUCUGCUGCAACAAACCCAGCAGACCAGGCUGAGACAGAGAGGGGGGCUGAGCAGAAAGCAAGAAGGAGCUUCCUUUGCUUUUCAAUGACCAAACUCAGGAUCAACUUCAAGCGUUCCAAGAGAGGAAACAAAAAGGACUGCCAUUCAGUCCAGGAACAGAAUGAGA